rfam:Lichtheimia corymbifera JMRC:FST:9682, FST 9682, WGS project CBTN01000000 data, contig: SCAF00099
GCUUUCUUAGCUCAGUCGGCAGAGCGUCAGUCUCAUAAUCUGAAGGUCAGCGGUUCGAGCCCGCUAGAGAGCA